GACAGAGGUGCCAAGCGUUAGGCGGAAUCACUGGGCUUAAAGCGUGUGUAGGCGGAAUUGUAAGUACCUUGUGAAAUCCCACGGCUCAACCGUGGAACUGCUUGGUAUACUGCUUUUCUUGAGCCACUUAGGGGCUGUCGGAACAAACGGUGGAGCGGUGAAAUGCGUAGAUAUCGUUUGGAACGCCAAUGGUGAAAACAGCUAGCUGGGGAUGUGCCGACGCUGAGACACGAAAGCCAGGGGAGCGAACGGG
rnacentral:rRNA from 1 species